rnacentral:tRNA from 1 species
CACUAGGAAGCUAAAUAUGGACGUAGCGUUAGCCUUUUAAGCUAAAGAUUGGUGAUUUCCGACCACCCCUAGUGG